AUGCCGCGUGCAGGAUGAAGGCCUUCGGUUGUAAACUGCUUUUGUACGGAACGAAAAAGCUCUCUCUAAGUACAGGGGGUGAAUGACGGUACCGUAAGAAUAAGCACCGGCUAACUACGUGCCAGCAGCCGCGGUAAUACGUAGGGUGCAAGCGUUAAUCGGAAUUACUGGGCGUAAAGCGUGCGCAGGCGGUUAUGUAAGACAGAGGUGAAAUCCCCGGGGCUCAACCUGGGAACUGCCUUUGUGACUGCAUAGCUGGAGUGCGGCAGAGGGGGAUGGAAUUCCGCGUGUAGCAGUGAAAUGCGUAGAUAUGCGGAGGAACACCGAUGGCGAAGGCAAUCCCCUGGGCCUGCACUGACGCUCAUGCACGAAAGCGUGGGGAGCAAACAGGAUUAGAUACCCUGGUAGUCCACGCCCUAAACGAUGUCAACUGGUUGUUGGGUCUUCACUGACUCAGUAACGAAGCUAACGCGUGAAGUUGACCGCCUGGGGAGUACGGCCGCAAGGUUAAAACUCAAAGGAAUUGACGGGGAC
rnacentral:rRNA from 1 species